CUCAUAGAUUCGUGAAGCAUGAAGAAGUUCUCACAUGGGUGCCUUCACAGAAGUGAUUUUACCUUAUAAGGGCUCUUUAAAAGUUACACAUUCAACCUGCGGAAAACUCUUAGUAAAAGAAAAACAUUAAGUCAACAUUUCUUAGUGGAACUAAUAGUAAGUGGAGAAUAAUGGAUUUCAGUUGACAUGAUACACCUAACCUGCGCCCAUUCAAGAUCCUUUAGCUCAGAAGAUAAACUUAGUCACUGGGAACUGACAAGAUGACUGUUGGGGAUUUGGCAGUGGGGAUGAUUUCAUCAUAGACUAUGGCUGGAAUCCAGGGCAAUUUCUCUCUUCUUUACCAUUAUAUCAUCCUUUAUUUUACUGGGUGCAGGCCAAGGUCCAUAGAUUUGAUUCUCAAGCCCCUGAUUAUAGCCAACUCCUUGGGCUUUCUGCCUAAAGGAGUCCCCACAUAACGAUACCUUUUGGGUUGAGACAUUUCCUCAAUGAUUUUGGAUGCAAACUUUUUUUGUAUGUUCACAGAGUGGGCAGGGUUGUGUCCAAGGGUAGCACCUGCUUCUGGAGUGUCUUCCAGGCCAUCAUGCUCAGUCCCAGGAACUCCAGGUGGAGAGGGCUUAAAGCGAAAGCUCCCAAGUACAUAAGCACCUCCACAGCCCUGUGCUGGAUCCUGCACAGGCUGGUAAACACAAUUUUUCUUAUGUGUAUCACCGGUAAAUGGAGCAACAAAAACAUCGCAAACAGAUUUUGAAUACUGUUCUUCGGUUCGUCAUGACAAAGCCAGAGACUCAUUGUAUGCAGCAUUGUUAUCAUCCCCUGAUGUGCUGUGUUUGGGGCUCAGGCUCUGGGCCAGCAGCCGCAUGGUUUUUAUCCUGGACAGGCACAAACAGAAGGUCCAACACAUUCACAGGACCAGCGUCUCCUCCACAUCAUCUGAGUCCACAGCCACCAAAACCAUCUUUCUCCUGGUGAGCACCUUUGUCUACUUUAACAUCCUCUCCUCCAUCUUUCAAGUCAUUAUGUCUGUUUUUGAUAAUCCCAACUGGAUCUUCGGGAGCACCACUUCAGUAAUCACAGUUUCCCAACUGUCUGUUCAUAAGCCAUGA